AUGGUUUCAUAUAAAAACUCUCGAAUGUCUGCGAGAAUACACAGUUAGUGGUUCGCGUUUGAUCGAAAUAAUUCAAAUUUUUUUCCCAAUAUUUAAAACAUUUCGCCACAAAAUGAAAUUUACCACCGUAUUGGCGUUAUUAGUCGUGCUAGCAACAACAUGUUCAGCUCAACUUAUACUUACUAGUUGUGCUCGAAUGAACGAUGGACCAGUCGGUGCUAAAGUAGCUCAGGCAGCUUGUAUCUCUAGCUGUAAAUUCCAGAACUGUGGAACCGGGUCGUGCCAAUAUCGUGGACGCCCGGUAUGUGUUUGCAGUCGGUGUGCUAAUGGAGGCGGUGAAUGGCCAACCAUUCCAGGAAAGGGAAAAUAAUUAGUUGAAAUAAGUUCGAAGUAUUUUUAAUAAAAACAAAAAAAUAGUUAUUUAUGCAACAAAUUGCGAAAA